rnacentral:rRNA from 1 species
AGCGAACGCUGGCGGCAGGCCUAACACAUGCAAGUCGAACGAAGUCUUCGGACUUAGUGGCGGACGGGUGAGUAACACGUGGGAACGUGCCUUUAGGUUCGGAAUAACUCAGGGAAACUUGUGCUAAUACCGAAUGUGCCCUUCGGGGGAAAGAUUUAUCGCCUUUAGAGCGGCCCGCGUCUGAUUAGCUAGUUGGUGAGGUAAAGGCUCACCAAGGCUACGAUCAGUAGCUGGUCUGAGAGGAUGACCAGCCACAUUGGGACUGAGACACGGCCCAAACUCCUACGGGAGGCAGCAGUGGGGAAUCUUGCGCAGUGGGCGAAAGCCUGACGCAGCCAUGCCGCGUGGAUGAUGAAGGUCUUAGGAUCGUAAAAUCCUUUCACCGGUGAAGAUAAUGACUGUAGCCGGAGAAGAAGCCCCGGCUAACUUCGUGCCAGCCGCCGCGGUAAAAC